UCUUAUUGUAAAUCACAGUCUCACAAGUGUAACCUUUUAUUUGAGAAGUGUGAAAUUUAUAAAGGGAAACCUCACUAAAAAGGAGUUGGGAGGCCAGCAGGGGGAGCGCUCAUGCCCGACCACCUCUCAUCAAUUGCAAACCCAACCAGAAGACCUAUCUUGCAAGGUGAUACUGCAUUAGCUCUCACUUCACUACCCAGGUAAGAGGAAAGAGGUUUUCCUUCUCCUGGCAACAGCCUAGCCAAUGAAAGGCUGUCACAAUUCAGCCAAUGAGAAGCCACUAGCUUCGAACUCCCAGUUUACACCAAUGGACUUUUUGUAACAGCCCUCCCAGCUCCAGCCUUUCCUCUACAGAAGAGUACUCCUCUCUUCCGUACUUAAGUGUGAAUUGUAGUUUCCUGUUCUUUCCGAAUAAACCCAUUUUUGCUGGGUUUAUUUUUAAGGUUCAACUGUCUAAAGGGUUCAUUUUGGAUGAAGGUGAAUAGUCCCUCUCUUCAGCCAAAGAAGUCGGGUGACUAGAGACAGGACCAGGCAGUAAUGGACUUAGGAAACUCUAAGAACAAAGAUGUGAAUCCUAUAGAGAGGAAGGAGGAAUGGGACCAGCAGGAGUAACAUACUUUCAAUUUGGACAAUACGAGGACGUGCCUUCCUAAGAAACCAGCCUACCCUUCUGUGAGCUGGGAGGAGGCCUCUGCCAAGGUGCUGAGGGAGGCCGCCAUGAACAGUGGGGCACUGGGGCCCUCACACCAACAGCCCAGAGGUACGUCAUCCUGCCAGGGACCAGGAAGGCGGCCUCAGAAGUGGGUCCUACAUGCUGAGCCUUCAGAUAAGCUACGGCCCCAGAUGACGCCUUGACUGUUGCCUUGUGAAGGCAGAGGCACCCAGGCUGUUUCCUAGAACUUCCAGAGCACACAGAAACCCAGAGGGCUCCAUCAUGUAUUCCCUCCUGUCGGUCACUGUGACUUUCAAAGCCCGUGAGGAGACAGGGAGCCCUCGUUACCUUGGUGAUGGUUAGCACGAUGUCGGUGGAUGUCACCAGAGGGCAGGGAUUCCCCAGGAGCCUGUAGCCAAUCACCUGGGGAAGCACCAUGCUGAUUGGCUGGCCCAGCAUGACAGCUUCUGCUUCAAUACCACCCACACCUGCAAAGAAUGGCACGGCAGAAUGAGGCUUUCAUUCCUCCUGUGACCCUCAGGCUUAACUCAAUGUCAUCAACAGAAUUUUAAGCAAGUGUUUCUGAAAGUGUGGUCCCCCAACCACCUGUAUCAAACUGCCUGUGAUUCUAUCAAAGUGAAGAGUGGGGUCAGAAGUCUCCAUUUUUAACAAAAACCUCAGGUCUUGAUUCUUCUGUAAACUGUCUGCCCUGUCAGAGAGAAAAACUACAUGUAUAAGUUUUAAGGCUUAAAAUAUUAUUACUGGUCAAAUCUGUUGGUGAUGAAUAACAUGGCAGUUUCACCUGCAGGCUUGCUGGACAGUACUGAUGCAUUCAUUCACAUGGGAAAGGGGAGGUACCUACAUGUACUAAUGAUCUACAGAACCCACCUGGGCCAUAUGUUGGGAGUGCGGUGCAGAAGCACCAUGAGCAGUGCCCACUUGGUGGACCAAACCUGAAGACUAUACAGAGUAGUAGCCAGGCAGCUGGAAGAGCCAAGACUGUCAAGGUCAUGACUCGGACAUACAGGGUGCCAAAGGAGCACCCAGAAAGGGCUACAGACUCGAAUGGGGGUCAGGAAUGCCUUCCAGAAGAGGAAUGACAUCAAUGUAGUCUGAAGGAUGGGGGGUAGUCAGCCAGGUAAAAAUCAGUAGGCACCUCUCGAGAAGAAAGAGACAGGAAGUACUUUUUUUACUCUACAAAACAACAACAGCAACACACAUUUCAGUUACCAUGCUGAUUUUUCUCUUCUUCUCUUGAAGUGAAUAUUCUCAAGGUUAAGUGUCAGCUGCUUUAAUGGAAUCAAUCCCAGAGAGUGCCUUAGAGGAGUCCACAAACUAUAGCCCAUGGGCAAAUCUGGCCUAAUACCUGUAUGUUUGAUCCUCAAGCAAAAAAUAAUUUUUACAUUUUAUAGGUUGAAAAGAAAGGAGAAUAUGUGAAUAGAGAGAAUAUGUAGCCAGCAAAGCCUAUUUAUUAUUGGUCCCUUAUAGAAAAAGAUUGCUGAUCCCUGACAUAAAGAAUGAAUGUCUGUCUGUGUGUUAAAGAAAAGCAAAAGGAAGAAACAGAGACCUUGGUACCAAGGACCAAGGCAGGACACCAUUGCCGACCCUGCAUCAGCAGACCCUCUGGGCCCUUGGACCAGGUGCCCCUAUUCUUCCAGGUCUACCUUCUCACUAGUACACUAAGGGCUCCAUUGCUCCAAAUCCACCUGUCUCUUCAGGUCAGGUUCAUAUUCCCAGUGGACCUGGGCAUCUGAAUGGGGAAUACCUCAGGCACCAGCAGCUCAACAGGUCAAACCCUAACGCACGUCCUUCUUUCCUAAGUCUUGUCCUUGUCCCAUCUGAUCACAUUUCAUUCAGUGACCUCUUCUCCCACCGAGUACCUACUGCUAUCAACGUACUUAUUCCAGAAAUAGCCCCCUAACUGGUUUCUCUGUCAGGCUAGUCAACAUCCCUUUUGUACCGUCACCAGAAUAUAAAAUAUAAAUCAUGGUCCAUCUUGCAUCUGCCACUGGCUUCACAAUUUCUAAAUGAAGUAGAAAUCCCUUGUCAUAAAAAACAAAGUCCUUCAAUCAGCCUUCCUGUAUAAGCCCUCCUAUCUUCCAGCCAAAACUUUCUUAAACUUCAUCUUCACUGUAGCCCUCAUACCCCUCCCAAACCUCUUUCCUCAGAUCUCUCUACACACUCUGUUCUUUCUGUGAAAAAUGCUUUUUCCAGCUCUUCUGUCUUUGGUAAACACCCUUCAGGAUCCAGAUCAAGUGAUACUCCUGGAAGAGCCCUCCUUAUGCCCCCCGUCCAGAUGAUUUGCCUCCUCUGGUUACUACACUUAACAGCUGCAUUAAAGUUGUAUAUUCUCUAAUCUCUCUCUUCUUCUAAACUAACCUGUUUCUCGAAUAAAUACUGGCACACAGCAGGCCUGUUAGAGGGAUUUAAUUAGGAAAAAAAAAAAGAAGUCAUCUUGGAACAUUAUUCUUGAUCAUAUGUGGCCCUGCCUCAGGUGCCCCCAUCUCUGCUGUACUCUGAGCUCUGUGGGUUCCCCGUCAUUAUCCCUUGUCCUUUUGCCUUCAGCACCAGAAGGAUGUUAGAGCUUCUCACAGCAGAGCAGGGUUGGAAGGGGAACACUUACCCCAGAGAAUGCUGGGGACAUCAGUUUGAUGUAAAGAACAUAUUCACAGCAGAAGCCAGAAACGUUUAGGCUGUUUUAAGAUAUGUUAAUUCCAGGUAAAAAAAAAACGAUUUACUCAUUAAACCAAAACACCUUGUGUGCUAACCUUUGCUCAAUUUACUUAGCUCUAAUUAUUGAAAUGAAUAAACAGACCUAGAAUUUGGCUUUUUUCCACCACUCAGAACUUUCCUAAAUUCACCAAUCUGGUGAGUUUUUAGUAAGGUUUCUGAAUGUGACUGGCCUCACAAUCUAAAGAGGAAAUGUUUCCCUAGUUACAUUAAUUUGAAUUCAGAUUUGAAUGCACAUCAAAGUUUCUGAGUACUACAUUUAACAGUACUCCAGAAAUUCACAAACAAUAUUUACAGAGGAGACAGUUUUCACACUCAAUGAAAUCUGGUCAGGAAUUGUUAUGGCAUUUUUGGGGGGAUUUUUAAAAAGGCUAUUUCUAAGAUAACUUUGUUAAAUAUUACAACAAUGUGUCAGUUAAUAAUGUGUUAGUAAUAAUCCUUAAUUCCUAAAGACAUUGUGAGGCCAAUUUUAUUUAAACUGGGCAAUGAGCUUAGAAAUACUUCACUGAAAAAACUUACCAUCCUACCACCUCUUACUCAGUUUUUCUAGUUCAUUUUUGGGAAUAGCUAGAAAAUAAGCCCACAGGACACAAAGAUUGAGACAUCACACUUAAUUCCUUACAAAAAAAUGAAGAAAGAGACUAAGAGGUCAAAUUGCAAAACCAAACUUGAGAAAUAAAAACAAACACCAUCAAUGAAAACACUUCCAAUAGAAAUGUUCUCUUUAAAUACAAAAAGAAAAAAGGAAGAAAAAAAGCAUUUGCUAGAAAUCAAUUUGGAUCAGAGUUCAUUUCACCUCUGGACUUUGCUGUUUUCACAAUAAUGUUUUCAGUACUACAGUAUAAAUGAACAAAAUCCUUAAAAAAUAGAAACCAGAGUUGAUGGAUAUCCAGGUUUAAGGAGGAAAAAAAAAUCACAGUGAAUUUGGUGAUCAUCUAGAUUCAUUAACUGCUUAAUAGUCAGGAACUCUUUGAAUUUUAGUCAAAAGACUUUAGACAUUAAAACAAUUAUAAUUCUGUCUCCACCAAUAUUUUCAUUUUCUAGGCCCGCAAAAUGAAGGUAAAUAAUCAAUACCAAAGAGUCUCCUUUUAUACCUUAUAACUUCUGAAGUGGGAAUUUAGGAAAUAUCCUCAUCUGCAAAUAGGAUAACAUUUUGUGUAUAUAUUUUUAACUCUUCCCUUUGAAACCAAAACAUUACAUUGAGCCCUUGUGAUUUAAAGAAGAAAAAAAGACAAGUUGCCUGAUAGGUUUACAGUCCAAAUGAAAGGGAAGAGCUAGCAAGUAUCCAGUCUUUUGGUUCCAAGAACUGUCACUUCAGGGCACAAAGAUUUGUCUUUAUCCUGAAUUUAUCUGGGUUGGAUUUUGGCAACAUUAAUUUUAAUUUGAGAAUGACCAGUUUCUACAUUUCUCUUGAGGCUAUGGAACCAACUUAAAUCCCCAGGGAAGCAAAUAAAAGGUUUGGGUUUUUUUCCCCUCUGAAUGGUUUGUCUCAUAUUCUUAGAUGAGUUUUUAUUUUUAAACUAAUAGCUUCUUAUUGUAAAAAUGGAGAACAGUUAUAAUCCUAAAGAUAGUUGCUUAGCAGCUUAGUAUCUCUUUCUCAACUUUUAAUCUCUGCUUAUCUUUUCAUCUAGCUGAGCUCACUCUGUACAUGCAAUUUAUAUGUGGUUCAUUGAACUAAGACAUGAGUAUGUUUCAAGUGUUAUUAAGCACAUUUUAAAUAUUUAAAGAUUACCUAAUAAUUCACUUUAAAGAUGUACCAUAAUUUAAUAAAUCAUUUGCCUUUGUUGGACAUCUAUAAUGCAUCUAGGUUUUCAUUAUUAUAAAUAAUACUUUGAUGAAUGCCAUUUAGUCAUUAAGCUGUAUGUCAUUAUAAAUUUCAGGUAUCUAUGAAGGGUAUGCUUAGAAUUGAAAUUUCCAGGACAAAGGAUAUGGCAAUUUUUGAGGAACUUACUAAGUAUUGCUUUUAUCAUUUCUAAUUUGCAGUGUAUAAAAGUGUUUCUCUCAUGAAACCUUUAUAAUUAAUAAUGUUACUUUUCUAAUCUUAACUAUAUGAGAAAAUGGUAUCUCAAGAAUUAAAUUUAGUUUUUUAUUAUUUGUAAGGUUGAAAAAGCUUUAUCAACUGUUUACCAUUUGCAUUUCCUUUUAUUGUGAAUGUCUACUUUCCUUUGCCCAUUUAUCUACCUGGUUUUACUGUUUAUAAAAAUGGAUCAUACACAGUCUUUAUAUUAAGGAUAGCAACCCUUUGGUCAUAUUUGUUGCAAAUGUUUUUCAACUAAUUUUCUGUUAACUUUGAAGUCAUUAAAUCUAUAGAUUUUUUUUCCCUUUUUGGCAUUCAUUGUUAAAUUUAUAAAGGUCAUCAAAACACUUGACACAUAUAUACUUAAAUUUUCUUCUAAAUUUUUUGAUGAUUUGAUUUUUAAAUAUUAAUGCUUUAAUUCAUGUGAACUGCUUUCUUUGCCAAAUAAUUUUCCCAGCAUUGUAUGCAUAAUCUUUCUUUUCCCACUGAUAACUGAUAAUAAUUUUAUUUAGUUAUCUAGGUUAAGAUACCAUCCUUGUAGCCAUACCUGGUUGCCCUCCCUGUAUUCAAACCCUUGUUGUAUAAUCUUACAGCUAUUCUGCAGAAGAUGAAAUGACUUUGGGCUUGACGUACUUUGAUUAAUGUCACAUGAAUAGAAGUGACCCUAUGCCAGUCUUGAUCUAGGCCUCGAGAUAUUGUGGGUUCCCACUUUUCCUCUUGAGCCUCUGUGAUCACCAGAUAGCCAGGCCCGCAACGAAACACACAUGGAAUGGAGCUGUCCCAGCUGUGCUGCAGAAGUGCAGUGCUGUGUAAGCAGUCGGCCCAGCCAGAGCUGGAUGAAGCAGAGCUGCCUAACUGCACUCAGCCUUUCUUGAAAGGCUGACAAGGGAAGCACUGAAGAGAGUGAAGUGACAGUUGGCUCACGUAAAGUCCUGCAGGAUGACCCGGGCAGGCUUAAAUGGCACCUCUAUGUUCUUAUGCUGCAUGACAUUCCAAUUCAGGAUAUUUUCAAUGUCAUUUUUCUUCACCAAAAAUUGAUCACAGUUCCGAAUGGCUGCCUCCAGAAGAACUCUGAUAGAAAAUGGAUCCAAAGGCUCAGCAAGGUGUGCAAAUGGGUUGUUCAUGGUCCCUGAUGGUCACGUGUGUCUGAAAAGGAAAGAAAACACCUAAUUUGUUUUCUUGACCUCAUUUAUUCUGUUCUACAACUUUUCAACAUUCUUUCACUGAUAAAAUAUGGGAAGAAGGGAAAUGAAGGCUGUGCUCAAAAUAAAUCUUGAAUAUAUGAACAGACCUCUGAGUUGGACUCAUGUCUUGCUUGACUGGAGGUAAGAGGUCCAUAGCAGGUGACAUUACGCAACUGUAUAAAACUUGAACUUUGGAAGUGAGGACUUCAAAGCAGCUGUUUUCUAUGUCACAGACUCUGCAGCAUUUUAAAUAAGCAUGUCAACUAGAAGUCUUCCUGAAUGACUUUUGCAUAUGGUAAUGACAGUGUAUUCACAUUAAGAAAUCAUAAAAUAAGGUUCACGGUGGUGGCAUAAAGGCCCAAACUCCCCAGACAGGUUUGGAGGGGACUCUACUGCAUGCAGCAUUGGGCAUGACUUCUCAUUUAUCUUUUUAUAAAUGAUACGCAGUGAACAGGGAAGACACUGUUCCUGGCCUCCACCAGGCAGAUAUAAAGUGAUUUCAUAUAACUUAACUAUAUAAUUCAGAGCAAAACACACUAGGGCAGGAGUCCAAAGACUUGCUUUCAAGUUCUACUCUAUGGGCAGAAAUCCUUAAUCAAGCCACUCCCCCAAGAGUCCUAAUUUUAAGAUAAAAAUAGUAACAUCUCUCUACUUAAUCCAGGGUUUUAUGAGUAAAUAUUUAACAUUUUUGGGAUGACUGAUAUGGAAAGAACAACAUAUUACUAUAAAAUGAAAAAAUAAACCCCAUGAUACAGGAAACUGCUGUUUGUGGGGAAAAAGUUACAAGUGGGCCUUGCCUCCAGAGACCAGCCCCUGUCUUUAUUAAGACAUAAGAAAGAUUGGUUGCUUUAGGAGGGGCAGGGGCCCUGAAAUCGAGACUGGGAGGAAGUCUCAGUUUUCACUGUGUAUCUUCUCAUAUUGUUUGCACUUUUAAAUGUGUACAUAGAUAACUUUUUGAGAACUAGUUAAAAGUUUAAAAGAAAUAGGUAUUUCUACAUUUGCUCUGUUCAAAACCCAGUGCUAGGUGUUCUGAGGAGAGGCAGCCGAUUGAGAUGCUGCCUCCGCCUUCCUGGAGCUCCCAGUGCAGGAUGUGGGAGGACAAGCCACACCUGUAACAUGCACAAGUGAAUGCAGAGGGAAGAGUGAGCUUGUCUGCCAGUGCCUCCCUGGGAGCUGCUGCUUUCCCCUCGUCCCACAUGCUUUCUGGGGGAUCUGCUAUUUCGUCAGCAAGGGACAAGGUAUCUGACCCAGUCUGGGCCAGUUGACAUGCUGUAGGAAAUCUGGAACUGAAACUAAAGACAGGCUGGCAAGUGACACUAGAACACAGUGUAAUCAUGUUCAUAGAAGUUUAUAAAUGUCCUAGAAUUAUUCAGGUAUCUUUCCUGUUAAUAAUAGAUUCCUGAGUCUCUCCCCUCAGCUACUGAAUCUGAAUUGACUUGGGGAAGUGGAAGGAUUCACCAUCUUUAAUCUCCCAUGCGUUUCUAACACGUUUGGCUUAGGAGUCACUGCUGGACCCCGUGGAGUCCCAGUUGAGGAACUGACGAUUCAGGAGGCAGUGAGGUGCUUGGAAGGGGGAGGGAGCCACAACCAAAAUGCCUCUGAGGUUCAGGAAGGGCCCUAUGCAGUGAGGCAGGCUGCACGGGGACCGGGCAACCUCAACCUCUAAGGGGGCAGAGGUCACUGGCUCCAGCCAAGGGCUGCCUGCAGGAAUGCUGGUCCAGAGUUAACAGAUCAUCCAGCUUUUCAAAUGAGGCUGGCAAUCUGCAUUUCUACACGAACUCUCUUGAUUUAUAAAUGUUGGUAACUAAAUUUUUCUGUACUACUAUGCAGGGCCAAACCGAACACCCCUGUGCCCCUAUUUGACCUGUGUCCCAACAUAACCUGGCAGAUGUUUUGGACUGGAGGAAUGGAAGGGUGAGCAGAGAAGAAACUCAGGUAGGAGACUCCGGAAGGGGAGGAGGUGAAAAGUGACCUGAGUGGACAAGUGGAUGGUGGCAGCGGAAAUUGAAAAGAAGUUGUAGAUGGAUUAAAAGCUGAAGAGACCAAAGUUAGAGAGAACGGCUGCUGAGUGAGUGGGGAGUCAUGGACGGGAGAAGAAACACAGUGGAACUCCAUGUACGGCGAGGUGAAGGACUACUUUUUGGGAGGGAAGACGGCGGCUUUUGUGUUUGAGGGGAGAGUCUACUUAAGAUAAGUGCCACAGAAAUGCAAGUGUCUUUUUAUUCAUGCCCAUUACAUGGGGAGCCAGUUAGGAAGAAAAGGCCUGUAAAUACACCAUUCAGCAAGAAACACGCCGGCUUGUCUGCAGAAGGAGAAGUUUACAGAUCUGUGGGCUCAUAAAAUGAGACUAAUGAUCCCAUUGACUACAGUUCUGAAGAUGUAAAUUGAAAAAGGCAAUAAUGCUCCUCUCCCUUUGGUUGGUCACCAAUGCCACUGCCCUAGACUUCACUCUUCCAUUCCAAACAGAUUUGCAGCUGCGAUAGGAAAACUGCUGUUUUGCUGGCCUGGAAAAUGGAUCCACAGAAGAGUGUCUCCACAGAGACAGGGGCCAGGUGACCCCAAAGUCUAUGGUUGAACCGGUCACUAAGUUGUACCCAGGUUUGCCAUGAUGCAGUGAAGAUAAAAUGUGUCUAUUUGCUUCCCUUACAGAUGGCCUGCGCAGAACUUUGGAGGCCUUAUACAAUUCCUGCUGCUCCUGGCACCCUACAAAGCAAGCUGGCAUUUCAGGAUGGAAUGAUGACCAGUAUGGAUCAUGUAGAAAAUGGCUUGUGUAAAGCGCUCUACCAUCUGCCUCCCUUUUUCCUUAGAAAGUAGAUAACUGUCUAGUUUCACUAUAUUAAUGAAGCAAUUUCUACUUGCAGCAAUUAGGAGGAAUCAGGUACUAAUUACUAAGCACCAGCACAUGCCCAGUGCUUCAGCCCAUCUUCUCUAACUCUGGCAACAUCUCUGUUACUUAAAGCAUCCUGAUUCCCAUUUUACAGCUGAGAAACAGCAGCUCAGAGAGAUGGAAAAACUUGCCUAACAGCAUACAUCUAAUAAGAGGCAGAGCUGGGUUUUGAACUCGGCUCUUUCCACCCACCCUGUGGCGCCUCUCGCCUCUCCAAGUGCAACAACUCCUGUUGUGAAGGUGGUGUGGCUGGAGGUCACCAACCAACCCCCAGACUUGAAAAAAGCCCAAAGGCUUUGUUCGGGCCUGAGAAAUCCUACAAGAUGCAGCUGUGGAUACUAGAGUUGCCUUUCCUUCUUCCAUUGGUCACCCAGCACAUUGGCCUGGGCCCGGCAUCACACAUCCCAAGCCACUUUAUGGAGUCCCAGAUGCCCUGCCAGGAGUUCCAAGUACCUUAAUCCCAAGAGAAAGCCCCAAACAUGCCGCGAGGAGGCUGUGAGGGGACUGGUCUUUAUCUUGGGAAAGGUGCAGAUCCAAAGUGGAAUCUAGGCCUUGUGAGUACUUCCUAGGUCUGCCUUACCUUGGCCAGAACUGUACUCCAUCCCCAAACCUCAGGUCCUAAUUACCACAGGGCCUGCGGAUUCCACACCUACCCCAAGAUCUGGGUCUGUCGGCCAGGGAGCCCUGCCUACUUCUAAAUUCACAUAAAGCACAUACGAUUGUUUGAAUUCCUUUCUGUUCUUGUCCCCCAUCUUCUCCUUCUGCUUUGUUCCUACCUUUUUUGUUUUAUCUAAUCCCCAUUCAAUACUAAUAAAAGAGAGGAAUGACCA